AGUGGGGAAUAUUGGACAAUGGGCGCAAGCCUGAUCCAGCCAUGCCGCGUGAGUGAUGAAGGCCUUAGGGUUGUAAAGCUCUUUCGUCAGGGAAGAUAAUGACGGUACCUGAAGAAGAAGCCCCGGCUAACUUCGUGCCAGCAGCCGCGGUAAUACGAAGGGGGCUAGCGUUGCUCGGAAUCACUGGGCGUAAAGCGCACGUAGGCGGCUUUCUAAGUCAGGGGUGAAAUCCCGGAGCUCAACUCCGGAACUGCCUUUGAUACUGGAAAGCUUGAGUUCGGGAGAGGUGAGUGGAACUGCGAGUGUAGAGGUGAAAUUCGUAGAUAUUCGCAAGAACACCAGUGGCGAAGGCGGCUCACUGGCCCGAUACUGACGCUGAGGUGCGAAAGCGUGGGGAGCAAA
rnacentral:rRNA from 1 species